AGGCAGACGAUAAAGUGAGCUCAGCCUUAAACAUGUGGAGAGAACGUUUGACCGACAGUCCUGGGACGACUGCAGAACAAUGGAGCAGCUCACAGGCACAACAGACUACAGAGCAAUCAAAGCACCAGUUAAACGUCCAUGUGACCGGCUUACAGCCAAUGAACAAUCAGUCCCCACUGUCCCCACCAACAUCACUGUACUGGAGAGACUGUGCUGCCAUGGUCAGAGAUGAACUGGUACUAAAAUGUGAUAGUCUGCAGGACCCAGGAAUACCUGCAUAUCUACCAGCUUGCAGUGUAGUUCCUGCACUCCACAGCCUCUUCUGUUCCAUGCAAGUGGAUUUUCUCCAGGGCAGGAGAAACUAUUUCUAAGAAAAGAAACAGACUCAGCCAGCGCACAGUAACACUAAUCCUCUUUUUAAAUAUUUAAGCUGCUCUUCAAAGUUUUCACCACCAGAUGUCACCGGAGAGGACUGUGUUGAAAAGCUUCGAGUAAUGAACCGUUUUUCAAUACAAGCUUCAGUGCUUCGGAAAGCUUCAUUUGGCCAUCACUAGUAUAACGGGUAAAGGAAAGAAAGACACACAUGGACUGCUCUCUCUCAGCUGCCGCCCCAUGUGGGAGUGAAGAAAAACUGAGAGUUAGGUGAGUGCAGUCCUUCUAUAACGAGUGACAGGUAAGUGCAAUUAAGGCCAAGCACCACACCCAAUCAAAGGUGAGGAAAAGAAACAAGGUGCAUCUGGUGAAGUGAAUGUGCUAGAAGGUGAGCCUUUACAACAG
ensembl:lncRNA